UUAUCAUUUUAAAUGCUAAUUUAUUUACUUUUUGAGACAUAGUAUCACCUUGUAACUCUGGCUGACCUUGAACUCAGUAUAAAGACCAAGCUGGCCUUAAAUUCACAGAGCUCCUCCUGCCUCUGCCUCCUGAGUUCUGAGGUUAAAGGUGUACCCUAGAAAAAUACUUUAGCAUUUGCAGGCUAGGCUUCUUAGACAUGGAUCUCUUUGAAUUUAAGGCCAGCCUGUCAACAAAGAGAGUGGCAGGUCAGCCAAUCCUACAGAGCGAGACCCUAUCUCAAAAAAAAAAAAAUUAAAUAAAACAAAAACACAAGUAAAAAGUUCUUUAAAAAGUCUUUUAGCUGAGAGUUGGCUAAAAAAGAAAGUAAGAGCAAAGUCAUCUGUAAUCCACAAACUGCACAUCUAGGUUUCAGUUGUGAAAUGCCUGUUGCUGCUCCACCCACCCGGUCCCUGGAUCUCAGCUGCCUUCCUUCAUUCUGGCCUCGCACCUCAGCGCGAACUUUUGCGCGCUGCACGCGACCCCCUCCGAGUUCCCGCCUCUUUCCACUCUGGCCCCGCCUUCCGCUCAAAUCCCCGGGCCCUGAUACCGCCUCGCGACGCUUGCGCACUGGGGAAGGUAGGCGGAGUCUUAAAGGAGGAGGAGCUGGAGAGUCUUGACCGGGGCGGGGUGGGGCGGGGCCGGACGGGGCGGGG
rnacentral:lncRNA from 1 species